CUAGCCAGCUUCCUCGUGCAGCACGGUGAAGGCUGGGGCGCCGGGUUUUUACUCCCACGUCCUGCCAACUCGAGCUGACAAGGCGGGCAAUCCACCAGCGGGAGCGUUGGCAGGCCCGGGGUCAGAUCCUGAUUCAGCCAGUUAAUUGGUAGGAGUGGGGCCCAUUUGUAGAAUGAAGGUGAUAACUGCCUCGUGGGGUUAUUGGCAUUAAAUGAAGAAUGUAGGGAACCUAGCAUGGUUCUUGAUGUCUAGGAGGUGCUCGGUGAAGGGUGCCUAUGAUUCGCUUUGUCUUCUAAAUACUUUUGGCAGCACUUGAGGUGUUAAAGUCUGUAUCCCAGACUUUAUUAGUCUUGUUGUUUUACGUGACUUAAGCGAUUAGCUCAAACGCCCAAGUACAAAAUGGGGCUAAACCCAGGUUUUCCGACACGAUUCUACCUCCAUGGCUCUAUCUCCAGCUCCACCCAAGGCCUCCAAAAUGGUGUUCUCCUAAAGUGACCAACAAAACACCAAGCUGUGUCAUGGUGCCACUUUGGCGAUGUGGUCUCUUAGGAGAGGGAAUUCUAAGUAGUUAAUUAGCUUGUUCCUUUCUACGUUGUAGUCUUGACCAAGGACAAUGUGUUGGCAUUUAAUGCCACUGAAGAUUUAAGAGACUAAGGAAUCAGAUCCUCUGAGAUUCCUAAAUCUGUGUAAUAAAAUGGGUUCUACACAUAGCUAUUCCAAAAAAUUCAGUCAGAUAUUACUAACAAGAUAGACAGAUUAUAAUCUGUAUGAAAUUUCUAGGAGUAAUAAAAAUCAGAAUAGACCCCGUAACCCCGAGUAUGUGUCUAAUUUUCUCAACUAUAAAAUAAUUAAAACUAAAGGCCUUUCUCUUCCUCCCUUGGUGAAUGCCCUUAUGUGAAUUCAGCUGACACACUCAGAAUGACAAAGGAGUUAGAAAUUCACAUCAACAGCAAUUGGUCCCAACUGACUCAAACCAUGAGACUUCUGCCCUGCUAAGAUACCUUGUCAG
rnacentral:lncRNA from 1 species